rnacentral:lncRNA from 1 species
UAUUUCAAAAAUAUAAAUAAAAGAAUAAUAGAUUGUAAGAAACUAAGAAAGAAACAAAGAGAUUGUAAUAAAAAUAUUUUUCAUUGAUUAAAUAAAAAAUAUACAAUGGAAAGGAAACAAAAGUUCGAUACAAGAACAACGAAAUCAAGUUGAUCUUCUAGCUGUGCCCGAUAGUGGAUAUGUCUCCUUGAAUCUUUUAUCUUUCUUCGUGCAGACAGCAACAGGAUGGCUUGGUUUAGGAACUUCAAAGAAAAAAGAAGAUAGAAGAGGGUAUAUGGAAGAGAAAGGGUAGCGACACUAGAAUUAGGACCUCUCUUAGAUUUUGUAGGAUAUGAAAAAGAGAUCUGUGGAGGAAUAUGGUAUCGUGCUAGGGUUAGUACCUUUCUUAGACUUAUGGAGAAGAGAAAGAGGGAGAGA